UCACCUCCCGCGUUUCAGGAGAGUCUGCCUCCCUCCCGCGAUGCUCUUAUAGUUGUGUGCCCACCGUUCUCUCCCGUCUCUCACCUAAUUGGGUAAUUGAUUGAACGGAGAAAGGAGACUCUAAUGCAAUAAAGUAGACGUUUUCAUCAGAUGAGUUGCAAUAAGGAGGAUUAUCCUGCGACAUCAGACCGUGGAGCUACAGCAGCGAAGAGAGGAGGGGAGGGAAUACUCUGUUUCAGGUGAUUGAGUCGCGACAGAUGUGCACGACGACUGCUUCCCGAAGCGCCUGACACCGAAAAAGCACCAGUCAAAAGGUGGAUUAUUUUAUAGAGAAUUGACCACUCCUGCUUGUCAAUUCUACCUGGCGGAGUGUUUCAAGAAUCAUGAAUAUGUCACCCCCAGACCGGAGGAAAAAUAUACGAGAGCUGGCAUUAGAGAUUGGCAUUCGUGUUCUUCUUUUCGGAGUUUUUGUGUGCCAGCCCACAUAGAGAAAGUUCUGGAGGAGGUGACCCGCUUCACCCCUCGGUACAUGGAGGAGAUGGAGUCUUAUCUUUGACCAAUCACAGCAGGAGGAGAGGAAGAGAAUUAGCAAAGAGCCGCAAUGGAUGUCACCAACAAUGAAAGGUUAUAUCAGCUGUGUCGGUGAACCCCUUCCGCAUCUGAACUGGCUACAAAGAGGGUAUGUUUUGAUGUGAGAGAGGAUGCCAACCCCCAGUCCCGUCAUCGCCACCUCACCCGCUCUUAAUAUAACCUUCAGGCCAACUGGGGGCCCAAGGCUGGUUAGGAGACACCGCUAGAGACACUAUUAUGUAAUUGUGAUAACCUGAGAGAAUAUAAAGUUAAGCAGCACUGUAAUUCAUUAAUCAUAUGCUGUCUUCCCUGCUCCUCUGUUCUUACCUCUUUCCAUAUAUGUCUUUUACACUCUUUCUCAUACCUCUCUACCCACCUCCUCUUUCUUCCUCUGUUUUUAUAAUGCACAUCAGAUGUGCAAUGAAGU